UAGGGUAGGCUGAAACAAGGAAAAUAAAAAUCAAAGUAUGUGUGGCGUUUUUGGGGGGUAGAAGGAAUGGUAGAAUGAAUGGAUGUUCGGAAGUAACAAAAAAUGAUAACAAAAUAAAACUCACAAGAAUUUUCACUUUUUUUUUUGAUUUUUUUUACUUCGUACUCUUUUUUUUAUUCUAAUUUUUUUUCUUUUUUUCAUAAUAUCCUUUUUUUUCAAUUACAAUAGAUGAAAUACAAAGAAAAAAAUU
rnacentral:lncRNA from 1 species